rnacentral:rRNA from 1 species
UACGAAGGGGGCAAGCGUUGUUCGGAAUUACUGGGCGUAAAGGGCGCGUAGGCGGCCUGCUAAGUCGAACGUGAAAUCCCCGGGCUCAACCCGGGAACUGCGUCCGAUACUGGCAGGCUUGAAUCCGGGAGAGGGAUGCGGAAUUCCAGGUGUAGCGGUGAAAUGCGUAGAUAUCUGGAGGAACACCGGUGGCGAAGGCGGCAUCCUGGACCGGCAUUGACGCUGAGGCGCGAAAGCCAGGGGAGCAAACGGG